CUGGAAUGCUUUAUGCGUAAAAUGGAUUCGUCUGCCCAAGGAUGGGUCUGCGGCCUAUCAGGUAGUAGUGGGUGUAAUGUACCUACUAGCCUACAACGGGUACGGGUUGUGAGAGCAAGAGCCCGGAGAUGGAUUCUGAGACAUGAAUCCAGGCCCUACGGGGCGCAGCAGGCGCGAAAACUUUACAAUGCGGGAAACCGUGAUAAGGGGACACCGAGUGCCAGCAUCAUAUGUUGGCUGUCCAGAUGUGUAAAAUACAUCUGUUAGCAAGGGCCGGGCAAGACCGGUGCCAGCCGCCGCGGUAACACCGGCGGCCCGAGUGGUGAUCGUGAUUAUUGGGUCUAAAGGGUCCGUAGCCGGUUUGGUCAGUCCUCCGGGAAAUCUGACGGCUCAACCGUUAGGCUUUCGGUGGAUACUGCCAGACUUGGAACCGGGAGAGGUAAGAGGUACUACAGGGGUAGGAGUGAAAUCUUGUAAUCCCUGUGAGACCACCUGUGGCGAAGGCGUCUUACCAGAACGGGUUCGACGGUGAGGGACGAAAGCUGGGGGCACGAACCGGAUUAGAUACCCGGGUAGUCCCAGCCGUAAACGAUGCUCGCUAGGUGUCAGGCAUGGCGCGACCGUGUCUGGUGCCGCAGGGAAGCCGUGAAGCGAGCCACCUGGGAAGUACGGCCGCAAGGCUGAAACUUAAAGGAAUUGGCGGGGGAGCACAACAACGGGUGGAGCCUGCGGUUUAAUUGGACUCAACGCCGGACAACUCACCGGGGACGACAGCAAAAUGUAGGCCAGGCUGAAGACCUUGCCUGAAUCGCUGAGAGGAGGUGCAUGGCCGUCGCCAGUUCGUACUGUGAAGCAUCCUGUUAAGUCAGGCAACGAGCGAGACCCGUGCCCACUGUUACCAGCAUGUCCUCCGGGACGAUGGGUACUCUGUGGGGACCGCCGAUGUUAAAUCGGAGGAAGGUGCGGGCCACGGUAGGUCAGUAUGCCCCGAAUUUCCCGGGCUACACGCGGGCUACAAUGAAUGGGACAAUGGGUCCCUCCCCUGAAAAGGGCUGGUAAUCUCCCAAACCCAUCCGUAGUUCGGAUCGAGGG
rnacentral:rRNA from 1 species